AUUGAACGCUGGCGGCAGGCCUAACACAUGCAAGUCGGGCGAGUGGCGGACGGGUGAGUAAUGUCUGGGAAACUGCCCGAUGGAGGGGGAUAACUACUGGAAACGGUAGCUAAUACCGCAUACCAUCGGAUGUGCCCAGAUGGGAUUAGCUAGUAGGUGGGGUAAUGGCACACCUAGGCGACGAUCCCUAGCUGGUCUGAGAGGAUGACCAGCCACACGGGAACGGCGACACGGUCCAGACUCCUACGGGAGGCAGCAGUGGGGAAUAUUGCACAAUUGGCGCAAGCCUGAUGCAGCCAUGCCGGGUGUGUGAAGAAGGCCUUCGGGUUGUAAAGCACUUUCAUCGAGGAGUCGUUACUCGCAGAAGAAGCACCGGCUAACUCCGUGCCAGCAGCCGCGGUAAUAC
rnacentral:rRNA from 1 species